CCACCAAAACGUUUCUCAGGUAAAACACUAAAACGCUAUAUGUAUAAAGUCAUUUUCUUCUUCUGUGUUUCAGGCGGUUCAUUCAAGCAGCUCAAGCAUCUGACAAGGUUCCCCACAUUGAGAUGGAGUCCUUAGCAAACUAUGUUGCAGUAAUAUUGACUGUUGUGGAAUAUAGUUUUCUAAGGCUCAUGCCGUCCUUAAUAGCUGCCUCAGCUGUUUUUUUUAGCAAGAUGGACGCUAUUACUAUACAGAAUCCAACUCUGAAGCACUACACCAGAUAUGAGACGCAUGCCCUUAAAAACACAGUACUUGCUUUGGAGGAAGAUAGUUUUGCUUAUGUGAAUGCUAUUACUAUACAGAACCCAACUCUGAAGCACUACACCAGAUAUGAGACGCCUGCCCUUAAAAACACAGUACUUGCAAUGUAGGAUUUGCAGCUUAACACCAGUGGAAGCACCCUCGUUGCUAUAAGGAAGAA